CCUACGGGGGGCAGCAGUGGGGAAUAUUGCACAAUGGGGGAAACCCUGAUGCAGCAACGCCGCGUGAGUGAUGACGGCCUUCGGGUUGUAAAGCUCUGUCUUCAGGGACGAUAAUGACGGUACCUGAGGAGGAAGCCACGGCUAACUACGUGCCAGCAGCCGCGGUAAUACGUAGGUGGCGAGCGUUGUCCGGAUUUACUGGGCGUAAAGGGAGCGUAGGCGGAUUUUUAAGUGAGAUGUGAAAUACUCGGGCUUAACCUGAGUGCUGCAUUUCAAACUGGAAGUCUAGAGUGCAGGAGAGGAGAAGGGAAUUCCUAGUGUAGCGGUGAAAUGCGUAGAGAUUAGGAAGAACACCAGUGGCGAAGGCGCUUCUCUGGACUGUAACUGACGCUGAGGCUCGAAAGCGUGGGGAGCAAACAGGAUUAGAUACCCCCGUAGUC
rnacentral:rRNA from 1 species